AAAAUACAUAGGUGUAAUUAAAACUUGUUUUUGUUUUCGUUUUACGGUUUAAUCGAUUAAAGGACUGUAUGCGACUUAACUAAAACUCGUGAGCGUGAUUUUCCAAAAGCUCCACUUCUAAAAAUCCGUAAUCAAUCUCUGAUGUUUGAGUUUUAGAAGUUAGUUAAACUUUCGUUAAUUUCACACGUGUCCGGCUUCGUAUUUAUCUAGCUGUAUAAUUGUUUUCCACACAAAAACAAAAAAUAAAAGUUCGAAAAACAGACAUGCGGCCGAAAAUACACCUAUUUCGGAAAUGUUUAGAAAAUACCUUAGCCUACUAAACAAUGUAAAACGCGCAGGCGAUGGAACAUCACAGGAGGCCGUGAACUAAACAGUGAGCAGUUGGCACGCGCAUAGUGAACAUCGUCAGCUAAAUGUUUUCGCUCGGGGAAAGUUCUGUACCGGGCCGCAGCCGAACAGAUUUCAAGUGGAAAUUAUUUUUUCGUUGAAAACAACUAAACUCACUCAGACGAAACAAAACAAAACAUUAGUUGAUCGUUUUCAAUUGUAAAAUCGAGUACUUAUCGAUAAAAAAAUAUUUGCAAAAAAGUGCGUAUUGACAAGGGAAUUGAGGGAAAAGUUUCGAUUUUUUCUGUUGUGGACGUAAUAACACAUUAUGUAUUAUGUGUUAGGUACAAUGUAUUUUUAAAAUGCGACAGGAAAUUUAAAGUUGUGAAAUCGCCGACGCACACCUAGGAAUAAUAUCUACAAGGCGUAAACAGAAAGCAAAUUCUGGAAUAACAUAACAUAAAUUUGUUGUACCUACAACUGGAGUCGCUUAAAAGAAAGUUUUCGAUAAAUGGAGUCAAAGUGGUGCUCAGGAUUCGACGAAAUAUUGAUCGACGGCCAGGACGUCCAGAUAGAAACGUACCUGAUAAAAAGCUUGGAAAACAUUUGAAUUUUAAAUUAUGAUCCGUAUCAAAUAAAUCCGGCAUAUUCUUCACGCCGAGCCCUCGGAACUAAGCCGCUUUAUACAAUAACCCCUCGUGCCGGGAAAACUUUCGACUUGAACAUAUAUACACACGCUCUCCGUCAUCCCUUCCUCCCUGAUUAAUUUCUACUUUUCCUUCGGUUUUUCGCGAGCCACUCAAGAGGCUGAGGAUUUGCCCGGCUAAACCGCUAAAUAAAUGAGAAACGCACGCAGACAUCAGUUUAUAUCUUCUAGAUGAAUUCCUCGAUGGUCGAAUAGGUAUU